rnacentral:rRNA from 1 species
UACGGGGGGGCAAGCGUUGUUCGGAAUUACUGGGCGUAAAGGGCUCGUAGGCGGCCAACUAAGUCAGACGUGAAAUCCCUCGGCUUAACCGGGGAACUGCGUCUGAUACUGGAUGGCUUGAAUCCGGGAGAGGGAUGCGGAAGUUCCAGGUGUAGCGGUGAAAUGCGUAGAUAUCGGAGGAACACCGGUGGCGAAGGCGACAUCCUGGACCGGUAUUGACGCUGAGUGAGCGAAAGCCAGGGGAGCAAACGGG